AACGAACGCUGGCGGCAGGGCUUAACACAUGCAAGUCGAACGCACCUUCGGGUGAGUGGCAGACGGGUGAGUAACGCGUGGGAACCUUCCCUGUGGUACGGAAUAGCUCCGGGAAACUGGAAUUAAUACCGUAUACGCCCUUUUGGGGAAAGAUUUAUCGCCAUAGGAUGGGCCCGCGUCGGAUUAGCUUGUUGGUAGGGUAAUGGCCUACCAAGGCAACGAUCCGUAGCUGGUCUUAGAGGAUGAUCAGCCACACUGGGACUGAGACACGGCCCAGACUCCGUACGGGAGGCAGCAGGUGGGGAAUAUUGGACAAUGGGACGAAAGCCUGAUCCAGCCAUGCCGCGUGAGUGACGAAGGCCGUUAGGGUUAGUAAACUUCUUUUGGCGGGGACGAUAAUGACGGUACCCGCAGAAUAACGCCCCGGCUAACUUCGUG
rnacentral:rRNA from 1 species